UUUAGAAGGAGGCUGACGCCUGGAAGGGGCACUUGCUUGGAAUGCCUGAAAUCCUGCCCCAAAAGAGAUGAUUGGAUGAAUAACAGCUGGAGAAGAUCAGCCUUUCAGCCUUAUUCUGAAAAUUGAGGUAAUAACAGCAAGUUACCAUGGGCUCCUUGUCUGCUCAGAUGAUUAGCUACUGGAAUCACAGACUGGUUGAGACCGCACAGAGAAAGAACAGCAAACACAGAAGCCUUGUUCAAAGCACCAGCAAGGAAUAAGCUUCAGGACUUCCAGGUCACUAACAAGAUUGAGAAUGUCACAUUUGUUUUUAAAAGAUGAAGAAGUUGAGGCAUAAAACAGGUUAAAUAAAGAACAAGAUUUAAAACCUACUAUAACACAGCCCUGAGCCUAGAUCAAAGAACAGAC